rnacentral:rRNA from 1 species
AAUCAACGCUGGCGGCGUGCCUCAGACAUGCAAGUCGAACGAUUAAAGCUCUCUUCGGAGAGUGUAUAGAGUGGCGCACGGGUGAGUAACACGUAAGUAAUCUACCUUUGAGUGGGGAAUAACGUCCGGAAACGGACGCUAAUACCGCAUAAUGCAGCGGCAUCGCAAGAUGACAGUUGUUAAAGAUUUAUCGCUUGAAGAGGAGCUUGCGGCAGAUAGCUAGUUGGUAAGGUAAUGGCUUACCAAGGCUACGAUCUGUAACCGGUCUAAGAGGACGGUCGGUCACACUGACACUGAAUAACGGGUCAGACUCCUACGGGAGGCAGCAGUCGGGAAUUUUGGGCAAUGGGCGAAAGCCUGACCCAGCAACGCCGCGUGAAGGAUGAAGUAUUUCGGUAUGU